rnacentral:sRNA from 1 species
AAAAUAAGCGAAUAUUUCCAAAUAUACGUGGGUAGGGAUAAAAGGGUUAAAAAAUAUAUUUAAUUUUAAAAAAACGGUUCGAUUCCGACCUAAUACGCUAAUAAUAUUAUUUAAAUUGGAAUUUUAUUACGUUUUAUUCGUUACGUAAUUUGGCCGAAAACGCGGAUAAAAUACCGGAACAGGUUUUGGAAUUUUUUUUUAACAAAUUACAACGGUGCCAAAAAAUUAUAGGAUUAAAUUAUAAAUUAAAAUAUUAAUUUGUCGAUAAUAUAAUACGGGCGAUAUAGGGAAUUUUUAAAUUUAAAAUGGCGUUUGUAAAUACGAAAAAAAAGUCGUUCGAGGAGCUGUGCAACCAAUUCCGCCAGUUAAUGGCGAUCGAAAAUAAACCACCGUUUAACGGCCAAUAUUUGGUAAAUCGCCGGUACCAAAUAUUAAUUCGAAACAAACAAUUACGUUAUAAAGAAAAUCGAAAUCCAAUAUACCAAUUAAAUUUAAUACCAAAUUUUAAAAUAACAGGGUUUGCAAAAAGGAAGGAUAUUAUAUUUGCAAAAAGGAGGAUUGCAAAUUUUGGAAAUAUUCCAGGGAAAAACAACGUGUUAAAAAAGAACGUUGGAAACGCGAAUAGAAAAAAUGCGGUUAAAAUAACCGUGGAUACCGUACGUAUAUAUAAAAUAUAAAAGGGUUUAAAAAAAUUAAUUUAAUAAUAAUUCCGAAUUAUUUAAAAACGAAUCGGACGGUUUAUAUUACGAAAAAUUACCUGCAACGAAUUAUUAUAUUAUAAAAUAGGGGGCAAAAUUAUUAGCCGACGUAAUUUUUUUUACAGGUUUCCAAAGGUUCGCAAAUACGGCGCAAAACCGUUAUUUGCGAUUUACGAAUAUAAUGUAAAAUUUCCAAAAAUUCGCAAAUAUAAUAAAAAACCGUUGUUUGCGUUUUACAAAUAUAACGUAUAACCACCAAAAAUUCGCGAAUAUAAUAUAAAAUAAUUACCUGUAAUUUAUAAUUACGGUAUAAAAUUUCUAAAAAUUCGCGAAUAUAAUUCGGUUAUGGGCGGUAAUUGUUUAAAACAAACGUUUUUCCUAAAUUAUAUUAAAUGGGAAAAUUUCCUUCCGGAUAUUAAUGCAACGGAAUAUUUUACGGCGGAAUUUAAACAAUUCGUUAUUUUAAAACGUUAUAAUCCAAAAUUAUAUAUAAAUAAAUAACGCGCCAGAAAAAUACGUAUUCGUUUUGGCCAAAAUAAUGUGGCCGUUUUACUGGGAACGGUAAAUAUCCCAAUACCUAUUGGAAAAAUUACGUUUUAUAUUAUAAAAACCGAUAUACUGUUUUUAAUUUCGUUAAAAAAUAUAAAUAGGUUUUAUAUUUAUUAUAAUAACGUGCGUAACAAAAUUAUAUGCAAUAACGGGAAACGAAUGGCCGUUAAACGAAAACGGAGGUACCCGUGGUUUUAUUUAAAUAAUACCACGUAUGGGAUUAUAUUUUUAACCGAACCGGAAAUCGCCGGAAUAUUUUUAACCGAAAAAAAAUUUAAACGAAUAUAUAAACGUUUUGGGCACCCGUUAAUUAAUAAAUUAUAAAAAUUCCUAUAACGGGUAAAAAAAAAAACAAAUUUCGAAAUUAUAAAAAUAAUUAAUAAAAUUUGUUAUUUUUGCCAAAAAAAAGGAACAACGCCCCAACGUUUUAAAUUUGUUUUAAAAAACAAUAUCGAUUUUAAUUAUAAAAUAAUCGUUAAUAUAAUAUAUUUGGAAAAACGCCCGGUAUUUUAUAUAAUUAAUACAAAUACCGUUUUUCAAAUAAAUAAAUUUUUAACAAAUAUAUUAACCAAAAAAACCUGGAAAACGUUAAAAUAAUAUUGGAUUAAUAUAUAUUUAAAAUUACCGGAUAUAUUAACGUUCGACCUAGAACCCAAUUUCCGUAUAACCAAAUUUUACGCAAAAAUACGGUUAUUAAAUAUAUUAUAUAACCAAAUACCGGUAAAAAUAUAUUAGGUAAUAAAUAAAAUCGAAAGGUUUUAUAUAUUGUUAAAACGAACCUACGAAAUUAUUUAUACCGAAUGCGGUACGGAAUAUUUGUAAAAAAUUAUUUUGCAAAUAACGGUAAAAACGGUUAAUAAUACCGCAGGGCCGAACGGUUUGGUAUUUAUAUUAUUAAUAUUUGGGGUAAUAUUUAAAAUUAUAAUAAAUUUAUUUCCAAUAUUUAAUUAAAUAAAAUAAACAGCGGCAAUUAAUAAAAUUAUAACGGAAUUACGAAAAUUUACCGCCAAAAAAAAUUAAACGACGUAUUAACCGCAAAAAACGGUCCAAAAUUGUCGGACCGAUUUUUAUAUACGUUGGAAAUAAAUGCAAAAAUAUUAAUAUACCGAAAAAAAAUAAUUGGAAUAAUUUAUAUAAAAUCGUUUUAAUAACGGAAAAUAACGUAAAAAUUAUUUUCCCUAACGGGAAUUUAAAUUUUAAAAAUAUUUACGUAAAAUUAUAUUACAAAUAUUAAAAUUAAAAAAAAAAUAUAAAGGAAAAACGAUUUCGUUUAUUUUAAAAAAAAUUAUUUACGGUUUAGGAAAAAACCAAAAAUGGUAUAAAAAACGCCCAAAAAAUUAUUAAUAAUAAUAGUAAUUAAUUUAACGCAAAAACCGUUUUUUAAUUUAGGGGUAAUUGUUUUUAAAACGGAUAUUACGUUUAAUAAUCGGAUAAUUGAAAUGGCAAUUAAACCCGAAAAAUACCGACGCAAUAAACGAAAUAAAAAACCCAAAAUGCAAUUUAAUACGUUAUUAUUGGAUAAAAAAAACCACGUUUACGACCUGGUUAUUAAAUAUAAAAUAAAAGGCAAAAUUACGGUAUUAGGGGUUUUAUUUAAAUAAUUAAA